rnacentral:rRNA from 1 species
AGCGGAGGAAAAGAAACCAACAGGGAUUGCCCUAGUAACGGCGAGUGAAGCGGCAACAGCUCAAAUUUGAAAGCUGGCUCCGGCCCGCGUUGUAAUUUGCAGAGGAUGCUUCUGGUGAGGUGCCUUCCGAGUUCCCUGGAACGGGACGCCAUAGAGGGUGAGAGCCCCGUAUGGAUGGACACCAAACCUGUGUGAAGCUCCUUCAACGAGUCGAGUAGUUUGGGAAUGCUGCUCUAAAUGGGAGGUAAAUCUCUUCUAAAGCUAAAUACCGGCCAGAGACCGAUAGCGCACAAGUAGAGUGAUCGAAAGAUGAAAAGCACCUUGAAAAGGGGGUUAAACAGUACGUGAAAUUGUUGAAAGGGAAGCGCUUGUGACCAGACUUGCGCCGGGCAGCUCAUCAGGGGUUCUCCCCUGUGCACUCUGCCCGGCUCAGGCCAGCAUCGGUUCUCGUGGGAGGAUAAGAACGGUUGGAACGUGGCCCCCCUCCGGGGGGGUGUUAUAGCCUACCGUACGAUACUCCCGUGGGGACCGAGGUUCGCGCUCCGCAAGGAUGCUGGCGUAAUGGUCAUCAGCGACCCGUCUUGA